GACCGGGAGGCCUCGGAGGCGCAGGCCCGCGCGUCCGAGGCGCGGAUGCGCCGGUUCGUCGCCGACGCCAGCCAC
rnacentral:tRNA from 1 species